AAGUGAUUUUACGCCCAUUGCUUCACAUCUUCAAAUUUUCUCCAAAAUUGAUCAAGUUUCUUCCGUCAAUCUUCUAUUAUUUUUUCAAAGAUUACUUCACACACAUUUUUUUAAAAAAUUUGAACCAAAACUCAUCAGAUUCGGAUCAUUUUUUACCUACUCCCCAACCAUGCAUGUACAGCUCCGGUCUUCGGCUCGUCUCACCGCUACCGUACCACGUCCCCUAAAUUUCAUAUAUACAUCCAAUUCUAGAAGAAGCUGAUGCAUUCCAAUGGAGGAUAACCCCAAAGAUAUGAAAAUUAAUGGAAAAGGCAAGAAGGGAAACAAAAGGUUCAAAGUGUGGGAUCAUUUUAAAGUUCGCGAAGGGGUGCUAGCAUGCUGCUACUACUUUUGUUGAUGAAUCCUAAAGUGGUGACGCUGCUUCUAUAUUGUUGUUUGUAAAAGUUUGUGUAGGCAUGUUGCUAGAUGCUAAUUUUCUACUACUUUUUUGCCUUUUUGUUUGUAUUUCGAAUUUCAAACAAAUAUGA